GAUUAUUGGCCAACGGGUGAGUAACACGUGGGCAAUCUGCCCUGCACUCUGGGACAAGCCCUGGAAACGGGGUCUAAUACCGGAUACUGAUCCUCGCGGGCAUCUGCGAGGUUCGAAAGCUCCGGCGGUGCAGGAUGAGCCCGCGGCCUAUCAGCUUGUUGGUGAGGUAAUGGCUCACCAAGGCGACGACGGGUAGCCGGCCUGAGAGGGCGACCGGCCACACUGGGACUGAGACACGGCCCAAACUCAUACGGGAGGCAGCAGUGGGGAAUAUUGCACAAUGGGCGAAAGCCUGAUGCAGCGACGCCGCGUGAGGGAUGACGGCCUUCGGGUUGUAAACCUCUUUCAGCAGGGAAGAAGCGAAAGUGACGGUACCUGCAGAAGAAGCGCCGGCUAACUACGUGCCAGCAGCCGCGGUAAUACGUAGGGCGCAAGCGUUGUCCGGAAUUAUUGGGCGUAAAGAGCUCGUAGGCGGCUUGUCACGUCGGUUGUGAAAGCCCGGGGCUUAACCCCGGGUCUGCAGUCGAUACGGGCAGGCUAGAGUUCGGUAGGGGAGAUCGGAAUUCCUGGUGUAGCGGUGAAAUGCGCAGAUAUCAGGAGGAACACCGGUGGCGAAGGCGGAUCUCUGGGCCGAUACUGACGCUGAGGAGCGAAAGCGUGGGGAGCGAACAGGAUUAGAUACCCUGGUAGUCCACGCCGUAAACGGUGGGCACUAGGUGUGGGCAACAUUCCACGUUGUCCGUGCCGCAGCUAACGCAUUAAGUGCCCCGCCUGGGGAGUACGGCCGCAAGGCUAAAACUCAAAGGAAUUGACGGGGGCCCGCACAAACGGCGGAGCAUGUGGCUUAAUUCGACGCAACGCGAAGAACCUUACCAAGGCUUGACAUACACCGGAAAGCAUCAGAGAUGGUGCCCCCCUUGUGGUCGGUGUACAGGUGGUGCAUGGCUGUCGUCAGCUCGUGUUGUGAGAUGUUGGGUUUAGUCCCGCAACGAGCGCAACCCUUGUCCCGUGUUGCCAGCAAGCCCUUCGGGGUGUUGGGGACUCACGGGAGACCGCCGGGGUCAACUCUGAGGAAGGUGGGGAGGACGUCAAGUCAUCAUGCCCCUUAUGUCUUGGGCUGCACACGUGCUACAAUGGCCGGUACAAUGAGCUGCGAUACCGCAAGGUGGAGCGAUAGUCAAAAAGCCGGUCUCAGUUCGGAUUGGGGUCUGCAACUCGACCCCAUGAAGUCGGAGUCGCUAGUAAUCGCAGAUCAGCAUUGCUGCGGUGAAUACGUUCCCGGG
rnacentral:rRNA from 1 species